AGCAGGGCUAGUAAAAGCAGGUGGAAGAGGGUGGAAUAAGCUGACUUGCUGAGUCUUCCAGCUUUCAUCUUUCUCCAGUGCCGGAUGCUUCCUGCUUUUGAACAUCAGACUCCAGGUUCUUCGGCCUUUGGACUCUUCAGUGGUUGCUAGGGGUUCUCAGGCCUUCAGCCACGGACAGAUGGCUGCACUGUCAGCUUCCCUACUUUUGAGGUUUUGGGACUCAGACUAAGCCACUGCUGACUUCCUUGCUCCUCAGCUUGCAGACAGCCUAUCAUGGGACUUCACCAUGUGAUCAUCUCCUUCCAGUGGUAAAUCACAGAUGUGCUGCAGACAGCAGAGAUCUGGGAUUCUUUUGAUGUGACAGGAGUGCAAUGGUAAUUGGAAGACAACAGCUAUCACAGGAAGUGAAUCUGGGACAAAUGUUGAUGUUAAAGGUAAAGCACAAGAAGAAUAAAAAAUGAAAGGACCACAUGCCCAUGUCCCUACCACUAUCAUUUUAAUGAGACGUUUCCUGCAAAAUAUCCUGUUCCUCCUCUUGAGUGACUUAGAAGGAAAGCUCUAAACAAUCUUAGCCAGUCAAGUUUUCCUGACUCCACAGAAGACAGGAAGUAAAACAAGCUGUGACUGGCCAGGCUCGGUGGCUAAUGCCUGUAAUCCCAGCACUUUGGGAGGCUGAGGCGAGCGGACCACAAGGUCAGGAGAUUGAGACCAUCCUGACUAACAGAGUGAAACCCCGUCUCUACUAAAAAUACAAAAAAUGAGCUGGGCGUGGUGGUGGGCGCCUGUAGUCCCAGCUACUCUGGAGGCUAAGGCAGGAGAAUGGCAUGAACCCGGGAGGCGGAGCUUGUAGUGAGCCGAGACCGUGCCACUGCACUCCAGCCUGGGUGACAGAGCAAGACUCCAUCAAAAAAAAAAGAAAGAAGGAAAAAAAAACCCAUGAGACCAACUAAACUGGACUGAAGCAAUUUUAGGAAGAUGUGUUUUACAGAGAUGUUUCAGUCCCUACCACAACCUGAUGCAAGCAGGGUUGUCUCAGGCAUUGAAGAGGGGGAGCAAGGUGUGUUAAUUAUAAUUCUUCUCACACCAAGGGGCAGAAAUUUAGUCUAAAACACACUAUGCAAAGGGGGCUUUUAUUAAGAGUAUUGACCAGUAAGAUGGUUUUAUUCUGGCUUAAAAUCUCCCCUAAGUUCACCAACCACACCAGUUUCCCUGAGAUUCUCCCAGUUUUAGCACUGAAAGUCCUAACCCAGAAAAUCCCCCAGUCCUGGGUAAACUGGUAUAGUUGAUCACCCUAGGUCAGCUUGUAUACUGCCUUAUUCCGAUUCAGUGCAUGGAAAAUCUCUCUCUUAAUUCUUUUAAAUUCUGUUUCUUUAUAAAAUUACUUUAAGUCCUUCUAUCUAUCAUAGCUACAUAGAUGAUGAUGAUUGAUAAAUAUAUAGGUAGGUAGAGAGAGAAACAGAGAGAUGUUUCUCUCUUCCUCUCUUUAAGAUUAUUUCCUUAAGGACAACAAACAUGGCCACAAAUCCAGAGACACAACCAAUGAGUUAAUUGGGGGGAAAGCAACAUUAUCAGAUAGGUGCUUUUAUGCCGCGUUUUUAUUUGUUCCCUGUUACCCAUAAACCUUACAGCUUUCAGGGACAAACACCAGGACCAACCUGAAGACCUUCUAGCAUGUGCAGAACAAAAAUGUCAGGCUAGAACAAAUAAGCAAUUCUGGUCUGGGAAUGCAGUCUGGGAUUUGCCCUUUCAAAGGGCAGCAAUCUAACAGCUUGUUAGUUCGCCUUUUUAAAGGCCAGCAACCAGGAAAAUAGACCACUGAGUGUGGGUCACUCCACAGAAAACAAGCCACGUUCCUGUGGCUAUUUGCAAUGCAAUAAGAAGCUCCAGUCCACAAGUAAACCCAGUCACUCUUGGUCAGGAGCACCAGAAUGGAAUUUCAGAAUAUUGUUGUAACUCUACAAGUGCUUGACCUGGGAGCACCUAUUGAGGAUUUUAUUCUAAAGAAAUAUGCCAAAUUACCAAGAAUACUUUAUAUACAAAAAUGCACAUUUCAGGGUUAUUCAGAAAUCUUUAAGACAAAUCAAAUUUUUAGCCAUAACAGAAUGAUUGCAUAAACAAUAGUAUGCCUGUAUAAUAGCUACCACAAAAAUAAAAAUAAUGGUAAUUGAGCAAGAUAGCAUACUCCGUGCCUUAAAUAGCCUAUGCCAUUUAAUCCUUACAAUAACUCCUUUAGGGAGGCACUAUAUUCCUUCCUCAUUUUAUUCAUUAGAAAACAGAGGCUUAAAGAGAUUAAAGUGAAUUGCCCAAAGUCACACAGCUCAUAAUUUGCAGAAAGAGGAUACAUAUCAAGGUCUUAUAUAUUCCAGAGACAAAAUUUAUCUGCUCUGUAAAACUUUAAAAAAUUAAAAUAUGACUAUGUAGUAAACUGAAUUUUUUCAUCCUUUUCAAUAAGAGUAGUACCUGUUGUAGCUCAGACUCUGCCUAUAUUUUAGUAGAAUGUGUUUGGGACCUGGAUAUAAUUCUUUUUUUGUUAAACAUAGUAUUUGAGGAAGAAAAAUAACUAAAAGCGAUAUAACCUAAUAUUAAACAUUUUAGCUGAAUUAAUCUAAAAGAGCUAUCAAUAAUGAUUAAUUUCUAAACCUAACUUUUACAGUGUCUAAUUUCUCUGGCCUGCCUAGAAUAUGCCUCUAGAUUUUGUUUUACUCUCCUUUUAUCCUCUGUUUAGAAGAUAUAUUAUCUUUAAAUAAGAAGGCAAAUGUUAUUUGAGCAAAGGCUAGGGACACAUUCUGUGCCCUUAAUACAAAUAAUUUUAAGCAAUUUGACAGAUAGAGUGCCAUUACAUCAUUUCAGAUACUAAUGGGCAUAAUAAUUCUUCAACUUCCUCAUGAAAGAGAGCUCUAAAAUGAGACAACUGAGUGAAAAGAAAACGUCAAGUUAUUGAUGGCUUCCAUCAUGAUUUUAUGACUCAUAGAUGGAAGGUGGUUCCUUCGUGGAGCCAGGUGUCUAGCUCGACCUUGUCUGCAGGGCUGUUUGUUGCUUUUUGCCAACCAGCAUCUUCUUUCACUGCCUUGGGUCACUCUACCCAGAUUUGAUUUGGGAACCACCCUUCCUUGAUCUUAGCGCACAUGGUUCAUGGAUACUGACUCAUUGCCAGCCCCAGGGGCAGUCUUAUGAUAAAAAGCCAACAUAAUCAGAGCCUUAUGUCUUCUUGCCAUAGAUAAUUCAGGAUAGACACUUGACACAUGGAAGGCCACUGAGAGCCAAGAAGAUUCAAUUCUGGGACUUUUGCUAGAACAUUUAGGAAAGAGAAUAUUCCUCCUCAGAGCUUGCUAAGUUUAUAGGUGAUACAGGAAAUUAUUUAGGCAUAUAGAGUAAAAGAGUCCUCGGCAGAAUUUCCCUUUUAACAAAAAGCAGCCCCCAAAUCAUUUCUUUUCUAACAAAGAGGAGCCUGAAAAAUCGAGCUGCAGACAUAGAAAAGCAAGCUGGAAGCUUGCACGGGUGAAUGCCGGCAGCUGUGCCAAUAGAAAAUGGCUACCUGGAAACCAGUUAUGUUCAACAUGAAGGCUCCGUCUUCCCUUUUCUUUGUCACCACGUGUACAGUAUUGAACCAGGUAACAUGGCAGUGGGACAGGUAGAGAAUAAUUUGCAUAAUAAAAGAUUAGGGUGCGGUGGCCUUUUUUUUUUUUUCUUGCCAUGAAAAUGGCAUACCUAGUCCUAACCAGUUUUUCACACCUUAUGCAAAUAGAUCACCGGGUCCAACCAAUCUUUCAUACCCUAUGUAAAUCAGACACUGACUCCUCAAGCUCAUCUAUAAAACCUUCUGCAUUUCACCACAGAAGCAGCAACCCAUUUCUCCAGGACCCCUUUCUGUGCGGCAGAGAGAGCUCUUCUCUUUCUUUCACCUAUUAAACUUCUGCUCUGAAAUUCACUCUUUGCGUGUCCAUGUCCUAGUUUUCCAUGGCCGUGAGACAAUGACCCUUGGGUAUUUAUCCCAGACAACAAUGCCACUUCACAGGAAUGUGAGUCUGAAGCUUCUGCAAUGCAUGGCCUCGAGGAGUUUAUGGUCCAUACAUUUUCCUCCCUGGUGUGAUUCUAAUAAGAGAAAUCUUGGUCACAGUAGAAGAAAUAUCUUAUUAAUUUAGUGAACCAAUUCAGUAACCAUGAGAAUUAAAAUAAGACUAUAGUCUGGGGGGAAAAAACUAGCCAUUAACCAAUUAUUAAAAUUGAUAUAUGUUAUUGUUAUCAAUUUAUCAAUAAAUACUCAAACUAAACAGUGGUUUUCUUCAUCAUUGCCUGUCAUAUAAAAACCCUAGUGAAUUAACAAAGCAAGCAUCAAAAUCCAUUUUUUCUUUCUCCCUGGCAUCCACACUAGAUUGUAUUUACAGAUCUGAAAACUCAUUUUGCAUAGAAGUUGUCAAGUGUUUGCACUGAACUGCAAACUUAACUCAAAAAGUGUUUAAAAAGAGAAAGCAGAACUGGGGAGGUAAAAGGACAUUAGAGGGCAUUUAGCCCUUUGGGAAAUUUUUCCAAGUCUCACAGUUAGCUGAUGCAAAGAAAAUCUAGGCUUUACAUCCUCAAGCCAGUGUUUUUUCUACAGCACUACAAAAUAUUUUAUUCUAUCACCGAAGCAAUCAUCUCUAAAUAUAAAGAUACCACCUACACACAAAACAUACAUUAUAACAUUAUAAAUGUGUUUUAAUUUUCUGUAAAACACACAGUUCUGUCAUGUAUUUGGAUUCCUCUUCGAAUUAGAACAUGUUUCUUGGGCUUACAACAAACUUCCUUCCUCUUUGCUUAUAGAAAUAGGAAUUGUAUUUUGGAUCUCAGCUUAAAUUUUGCUUCUUUCUCUGACUUCUGCCACAUAUGAACAUGUUCGCCUGCUAUAUUGUUUAUGUUUUGUGAAACAGCUAUUUAGGGGUGGAUGUGUCUCCCUAUUAGAAUGUCAGAUUUUUAUUUGCUUUAGAAAUUGUCCUCUCUAGUUAGUAACACAAAUCAGUGUGUGGCACCCCGUAAACAUUGUACAUUUGUAAAUUAUUAGUAAUUAUAUAAUUGCCACAUGCUAGGAACUAUUCUAAUAGUAUAAGUACAGACAGUCAUUGCAUUUAAUAUUUAUUAUUAAAAUCCUUAUUUUACAGGAAAUGUUACAGGUAGUUAGGCAUGAGCAGGGCAGGAGAGGGCUCUCCCCCACCCAAUAGGAAUGUUAGGUGAUGGUUUGACAAUAAUCACAUUGCCCCUCUAAAAAUGAUAAUUUGGCAGCCAGUGCCAGGGAGAGGCCAUUUCCUGAGGGUCCACACCUGUUGCAUUGAAGUGUUAAUUGGAUGCAGGCACUAGGAAGAAGCAAAAAGGGUUUCCAAUAAAAUCUCAGGUAUUGGGCGAGUGAUCCUGGGUGUACGCAUUAAGACACAAAAUGGUGGAGUAUGACCUUCCAGGGGCACACCACCAGAAAAGGGAAGAAAGCUUCAGAUGGGCAUGCGUACAACCUCCUAAACACACUGGGCAUGCUCACUUCCCAAGGGUAAGGAGGGCACAGUGCAUGUGGGCAGCCCACCCUAAAGGAAGAGUCAUGGGAUAAGGGGCACAAGACACCAGAGGUGGGCCAGCCUAUAUAGUCCCAGGAUCAAGGAUAAACACUGUACUUGUUCUUCAAAUCACCCACUUGGAUCUCUUCCAAGUGCACUUUCCAUUAUUUCCUGCUCUAAAGCUUUUUAAUAAACUUCCACUCCUGCUCUGAAACUUGCCUCAGUCUCUUUUUCUGCCUUAUGCCCCUCAGUCGAAUUCUUUCUUCUGAGGAGGUGAGAAUUGGGAUUGCUGCAAACUUGUAUGGAUUUGCCACCAGUAACUUGGAUCUCUUCUACCAGUAACAAAAAGAAAACUGAAACACAUGUUAUAGCGAUAGUAAGAGACAGAGCUAGAAUUUAAACCCAGAUGAUCUGAUUCUACUGUCCAUGAUUUUGCCACUAUAAUGCAAUGUUUUAAUGCAUACUUUUGAGUGUAUUAUGUUACAAUUUAAAAUUAUGAAAUUUAAUAUGCAUAGCGCAGAUGAUGAAUUCAAAGCAAAAAGAAGCUGACUUGUGUUGGAAAUCUCUUGUAAAUCCUCUGAGAAGUUUGAAUGACGUGUAAACCAAAAAUAAAAUUCGAAGGCUCCCUGUGACCAUUUGAAUGGACCUCCUCCUUGGCCAGGGCACUUUAAAUUUAACCUUCAAGACUUGUUCAGACCAUGAUGGGAAGAGGGGGUUGGACAAGCCUCAUGAUGCCCUCCUCCAUUUUGAAAUUCAGGAAAAUCCAACCAGCAUUUAACAUCAACACAGACCUUAAGUCUGACAAGAAACAUUUACAUCUAUUCUCUCUGAAGCCUGCUACCCCGAGGCUUCAACUCCAUGACAAAACCUCGGUCUCCACAACCUCUCAUCCUAAACCAGGCAUUCCUUUCUAUUGAUAAUAACCCUUUCAAUCAAUUGCCAAUCAGGAAACUUUUAAAUCUACCUAUAACGUGGAAGCCCCCCACCACCAUCUUUUUGAGGUGUCCCACCUUUCUGAACCCAACCAAGGUACAUCUUAAAUGUAUUUGAUUGACGCCUCUUGUCUCCCUAAAAGGUAUAAAACCAAGCUUCACUCCAACCAUAUUGGGCACAUGUUCUCAGGGUCUCCUGAGCAGUGUGUCAUGGUCCACGGACACUCAUAUCUGGCUCAGAAUAAAUUUCUUCAAAUAUUCUACAGAGUUGGACUCUUUUCAUUUACAGAUGUUUAGUUAGCAUGGGCUGAUACACACUAGGUGACCAAUGAUUGUUAGAUGAAUGGGUUCCUGGAGAAACAAGUGAAACCAACACAGGCUGUAUACAUUGAAAAGGGUUGGUUAAAAGUAACUUGAUAUCAUGCCUGAAAAAUGUUUUAUAUUAUGAAAAUUUUUAAAUUCUUUGUAUUUGUAUUUGCUGUACAUUAUUUGUAUAGGAAAAUGAGGCUUUAAAGUGUUGAAAGUUUAUAGAAAUAUAAGUCCUGAGGCUAAUUCUUUGCAAGAUGUAGAUUAGAAAGUUCCUUAUUUCUUUGCACUUUAAAUCUCAUCUUCUUAAAAAUAUUUCACUGGUCUAGCAUAAAUUCAUGCUGAAAUGUUACAUUAAAAGAUACGUC
rnacentral:lncRNA from 10 species